UAACCUCUGUUACUGUGAUUGAUUUAUUGCAACAUUUUUUCUCAGCAUAUGAAAUGGAUGAGUGGGUUGUCUUGAUUCUACAAUUUUAUUUUAUCUUAUCUUAUUAUUUUCCUAUAAUCAUUUUCUGAAAAUGGAAAUGAGUUCAGGAACUUCAAUUUUUUUCUGUUGCCAUAUUACCCUCUACAUGCUAUUUCCUGAAAAUAAAUUAUUUUUCUUUUCCUCAUAUCUUUUCUCUUCUGACAUAUACUAAUUCUCAGUUGCCCCUCAAGUGCUUGAUACUAUGAUGGGCAAUAUCAAUCAAAGGAUCGGUUAGUCCCAAUGAACCAAACAAUUCAAAGAAUUUCAGUUUCAAAAAAGAAAAGUAAAGACAAAAAUUGCAAACAUCUAGGUGUCAAGUAAAUGCUACUGGUUUAUUGUAAUUCAAGCUAAAGAGUAUAAUGAUGUAUAUGAUCUGAUCGAUUGUGUAAGGCAUGCUGUAGCAAUGGAACCAGGGAAAAUAUAGAGAAAUGUUACAUACAGCUCAUGAAAGUAUGAGCUUGAAGAGUCUCAAUGCAAUCCAAUUAGUUGCUGGCUUAUGGAUCAUAGGGAGGUUGGCUUGAGAGCCCAAAUGGGGCCAAACCCUUGGUUUCUUGCUGCAAUAGCAUGUCAUGUCACUUGAUGAGAAAUGAGAGGACUAGGCUGAUGUGCCUCUAUCAUUCUUGUGGAAGUUUCAUCAUCUGAGGCAGUAACAGUUGUGGGAUCCCUAAAGGUUAGCUUCUUGGAUUUGGACAAGUACGAGAGGAAGUUCCUAACAGUUUUGGGUCAAAGGUAUGUGACAGGGUUAGUGAAGCAUUUGUAGUCCGUACUAGGUUCCUUUGCAGGUACUAGACUGCCCAGGUGCUUAGUCUUCUAACUGGCUACUACUAGGUGCUCGCAGAGCAUUUUUUAAGGGGGUAUAUUGUACCAUGUAUCUUAUUAAUACAAACAAGGACUGUUAUUCAAUUUCUCGUAUGUUCCACGUUUUCUUUCCAUGUCUUGUUGACUAAAAUAGUGGAUUUAUGGGAGUGUUUAAACUCUGCAUUAGUGUUUUUUUUUU